CUCUCCACCCAGACACCAGUUCCUCUUCCCACUGCUGAGUCACUGGUGCAGAGCCAGAGGAAGGCCAGGGACCCCAGAAGCACCGCGGAGGGUGCUGUCCGCUGCACCUGGUAUCCAGGUGCGCCAGGACGCAGCCCCUGGGUGCUGUGGCUUUUCCAGCAUCGCCGAGGCGAAAGCCUGGCAGUGGGAACCAAAAGGUUUAUUACUCCUGUUGGACACACUCCCAGCUGGCCCAGUUUGUGCACAAGGUACAGAAGAGCUCCUUUGGCAAGGACGUCUGGCUGGCCUUUCUCGGUUCCCGAUAGGGAUGGAGCUGAAAAAUCAACGCCUCUCUCUUCGAGAGUCAGAUCGACAACAUCAACCCGUUCACCUUUCCACAUUCCACAUCCGAUUUCCUCGUUAUCACCACCUGUGCAGAGUACUGUGUUAAGACGAUGGACGGAAGAAAAAACAAAUUCCUUCUGUCCUCAAGCCAUCCGAGGAUCUAAAACAGACAUGCAGCCUCAGCCAGAGCAGCCUCAAGUUCUUGCUCCUGAAUCCAGCCGUGCGCUUUACCCGGGUGGUGUGGGCACCACCUGGGGUGCACCAUGCAGCCGGUAAGGACACCUGCCUCAGCCUCUUGUGCUGCAGGUGUUGGGAUGAGACAGAGCCGGGGAUAGGGGAGGGGGGUUGGGCGGGGGGAGAUGCACCAUCAGUCCUGUUCUCUCCUGGGGCCCCGAGCCAGAAAGGAUGAACCUGAGGGCCCAUUGAUGUCCACUGGGGGGCACUGCUGUCCUGUCUUACUGCCGUGCCUUUUAGGCGUGAGAUCGCACUUCUCCAGGGAAACCUGUUCUGUGGUUUCAAACUCUCAUUGAGGUGCCUCAGUGCCAUUCCCUUCCCGCACGCAGCGUAGAUCUAGCAAACUUCUCUCUCCUGUACACUUAACUUUUAAUAUCUGUUUUUAUGAAAUUAUUCUCUUUUCAUUGCAGAAAGCACAGAUAGGCAAAAACAGGGAAAAAAAAUCAUAAUUCCACUUCAAAAUGGUUCAUUUUGGUAUAUAUCAUAAUGGUCUUCCUAUGCAGAAUUUUUAUAUAUGUGGAUACAUAUUUUUAAAUGGAACAAAAUGGUGUUUACUCCACGUGCUGUUGUUGUAACUUGCUUUCUUCACUCAGCAGCAAAGUGUCAUAAAUGUGCUUCACUGUCAGCACAUUUACGUGUCCAGUUUUUCCUCUGUUUUAAACUACAUGGUGAUAAAUACAACCACAUCUUAGUGCAGCGGUGGUUCCAUCUGUUGUACUGGACCAUCCUCACAUUGCUGCGAAGAAAUACCUGACACUGGGUCAUUUAUAAACAAAAGAGGUUUAAUUGGCUCACGGUUCUGCAGGCUGUACGGGAAGCACGGCAGCAUGUGCUCGGCCUCUGAGGAAGCUUCAGGAAACUUACAAUCAUGAUGGAAGGUGAAGGGGGAGUAGGCACAGCUUACGGCCACUCUGGAGCAAGAGAGCAGGGUGGGCAGGAUGGGGGCGGUGCUUCACACUUGGAAAUAGCAGAUCUCACAAGAACUCACUAUGAUGAGGACAGGACCAAGAGGAUGGUUUGGGUCAUUCAUGAGAAACUGCUCCCAUGUUCCAGUCGCCUCCCACCAGGCCCUACCUGCAGCACUGGGGAUCAUAAUGCAGCAUGAGAUUUGGGGGUCACAGAUCCAAACCAUAUCGCCAUCCUAGCAAAGGGCCUGCGGGACGAAAGCCUGCUGGAAGUCCUGGAUCAGCUGCCUGGGUGUUUUGUUUUUAUAUUUUUGUGUGUAUAGACUCACAGUUGUAUCCAUCCCGCACGUUAACAUUGUUUAUGAUCUCUAUUGCUUCUGACACUCAGGUUGUUUGGAAGCUGGUGUGACAGCCGCUUCCUGCUAGCUCAGGUCCUCACUGUGGCCCAGACAGUCUCGCCUCCAGAACAACAGAAUGUCCUGGGCCCCCCAUGGGUGUCCUUGUCCCCACUCUGGACUCAUUUCUCCAAGCUGCCCUGAUUUUUUUUUUUUUCUUUUUUUGAGACAGAGUUUAGCUCUUGUUGCCCAAGCUGGCCCACACUGGACUCAUUUCUUCAAGCUAACCUGAUUUAUUUAUUUA
ensembl:lincRNA